rnacentral:rRNA from 1 species
UACGUAGGGUCCGAGCGUUGUCCGGAUUUAUUGGGCGUAAAGAGCUCGUAGGCGGCUCAGUAAGUCAGAUGUGAAAACUCAGGGCUCAACCCGGAGACGCCAUCUGAUACUGCUGUGGCUUGAGUCUGGUAGGGGAUCACGGAAUUCCUGGUGCAGCGGUGAAAUGCGCAGAUAUCAGGAGGAACACCGAUGGCGAAGGCAGUGAUCUGGGCCAGUACUGACGCUGAGGAGCGAAAGCGUGGGUAGCAAACAGG